rfam:Triticum aestivum genome assembly, contig: Triticum_aestivum_CS42_TGACv1_scaffold_404562_5BL
GAUGUACUCCCUCUGUCCGAAAAUACUUAUCAUCAAAAUGAAUAAAAAAAGAUGUAUCUAGAACUAAAAUACGUCUAGACACAUCCGCUUCUAACCGUUUUGAUGACAAAUAUUUUCGGACGGAGGGAGUAUACU